UACGGAGGGUGCGAGCGUUGUCCGGAAUCACUGGGCGUAAAGGGCGCGUAGGCGGCCUGAUAAGUAGGGGGUGAAAUCCCUGCGGCUUAACCGCAGGGCUGCCUUCUAAACUGUCAGGCUUGAGCACAGUAGAGGCAGGUGGAAUUCCCGGUGUAGCGGUGGAAUGCGUAGAGAUCGGGAAGAACAUCAGUGGCGAAGGCGGCCUGCUGGGCUGUGCUGACGCUGAGGCGCGACAGCGUGGGAGCAAACAGG
rnacentral:rRNA from 1 species